rnacentral:rRNA from 1 species
CGCGGCCUAUCAGCUUGUUGGUGGGGUGAUGGCCUACCAAGGCGACGACGGGUGGCCGGCCUGAGAGGGUGUCCGGCCACACUGGGACUGAGAUACGGCCCAGACUCCUACGGGAGGCAGCAGUGGGGAAUAUUGCACAAUGGGCGCAAGCCUGAUGCAGCGACGCCGCGUGAGGGAUGACGGCCUUCGGGUUGUAAACCUCUUUCAGCACAGACGAAGCGCAAGUGACGGUAUGUGCAGAAGAAGCACCGGCCAACUACGUGCCAGCAGCCGCGGUAAUACGUAGGGUGCGAGCGUUGUCCGGAAUUACUGGGCGUAAAGAGCUCGUAGGUGGUUUGUCGCGUUGUUCGUGAAAACUCACAGCUUAACUGUGGGCGUGCGGGCGAUACGGGCAGACUGGAGUACUGCAGGGGAGACUGGAAUUCCUGGUGUAGCGGUGGAAUGCGCAGAUAUCAGGAGGAACACCGGUGGCGAAGGCGGGUCUCUGGGCAGUAACUGACGCUGAGGAGCGAAAGCGUGGGGAGCGAACAGGAUUAGAUACCCUGGUAGUCCACGCCGUAAACGGUGGGUACUAGGUGUGGGUUUCCUUUCCUUGG